CGCCGCCUACGGGGCGCAGCAGUAGGGAAUAUUGCUCAAUGGGGGAAACCCUGAAGCAGCAACGCCGCGUGGAGGAUGAAGGUUUUCGGAUUGUAAACUCCUUUUGUUAGAGAAGAUAAUGACGGUAUCUAACGAAUAAGCACCGACUAACUCCGUGCCAGCAGCCGCGGUAAUGCGGAGGGUGCAAGCGUUACUCGGAAUCACUGGGCGUAAAGAGCGCGUAGGCGGGAUAGCAAGUCAGAUGUGAAAUCCUAUGGCUUAACCAUAGAACUGCAUUUGAAACUGUUAUUCUAGAGGAUGGGAGG
rnacentral:rRNA from 1 species